UACGGGGGGGGGCAAGCGUUGUUCGGAAUUACUGGGCGUAAAGGGCUUGUAGGUGGCCAACUAAGUCAGACGUGAAAUCCCUCGGCUUAACCGGGGAACUGCGUCUGAUACUGGAUGGCUUGAGUUUGGGAGAGGGAUGCGGAAUUCCAGGUGUAGCGGUGAAAUGCGUAGAUAUCUGGAGGAACACCGAUGGCGAAGGCAGGUCUCUGGGCCGCAACUGACGCUGAGGAGCGAAAGCAUGGGGAGCGAACAGG
rnacentral:rRNA from 1 species